UUGUCCAGCAAAGUGUUGUCCAGAGGGUAUCACCUCCAGGACUUCUGGGUGAAUAGGUAGCAUAACACAAUGCCAAUCCAGAUGGAGAGGGCAUCCCAAGGAGGUCACACUCUACCACCCCUUUUAUAGAGGAGGGUGUGGCAGGGCGCUGUGUGCGCAUGCCACUUUAAGGGCCUGGAGCCGACAGCCACCAGGUGCCUGACGAGGGCAGCCAUUUUGGAGGCAAGGGCUGCCUAUAUAAACAGGGCAGUUUGGCUGCUGGAGGGCAGGCAGGAACAUUGUCUGGUUGGAGAACUAGUGAGAUCAUCUGGAGCAUUAACAGAAGUAGAGGUACUAGCCGGCUCUUGAGUCUCCUUCUUAUAGACUCUACAGAAGAUAAGGCACCGCCCGAGCAGAACUGAGCAGCCAAAGGGAGCAGACCAGGAAUACCAACACAGCUACCAAGUACACCCCUGCAAA